rnacentral:rRNA from 1 species
AGAGUUUGAUCCUGGCUCAGGACGAACGCUUGCGGCGUGCCUAAGAAAUGCAAGUCGAGCGGGGAGCAAUCCCAGCGGCGAACGGUCGCGUAACACGUAAGCAACCUGCCCGAAAGACCGGGACAACAGUUCGAAAGGACUGCUAAUACCGGAUGUGUCCGCCCUUUCGCAUGAUUGGGUGAGUAAAUCAUUUAUGGCUU